GUCUCAAGUUCAGUAGCGGAUGGCGACGAUGCCUGAAUAGUUAGUGCUUGGUUGGAGCUGAGUUGGCCCCAUUAAUUCAUGAUAAAAUGUUAAAUCAAAACAACCCAAUACUCACCCAGGAAAACCUAACACAUGAAAUUCCAUUGCAUAACAUAUCAGCCAACAUUGAUGGAUAGCUUGUAGUUGCUGGAUAAUAG